UACGAAGGGGGCUAGCGUUGCUCGGAAUCACUGGGCGUAAAGCGCACGUAGGCGGAUUGCUAAGUCAGGGGUGAAAUCCUGGAGCUCAACUCCAGAACUGCCUUUGAUACUGGCGAUCUCGAGUCCGGGAGAGGUGAGUGGAACUGCGAGUGUAGAGGUGAAAUUCGUAGAUAUUCGCAAGAACACCAGUGGCGAAGGCGGCUCACUGGCCCGGUACUGACGCUGAGGUGCGAAAGCAUGGGGGAGCAAGCAGG
rnacentral:rRNA from 1 species